AACACUAGUGAUUUACUAGGCUAGUAGUACUUGACUAGUACUGUGCUCACAACAAUUCCAGAGGGGUGUGGCCAAACAGCAGCAAAACAAUUCAGAUGUGUAAAAUCAGGGAAAGGCUUGACAAUUUAUCGGCAUAUCUCUGAUUGCAGUGCAUUAUAAAUAUAUUUCCAGUGAUCUGCCCAUUCCUGAAUUCAUCUGUAUGACAACACAGGCACCGGUUAACAUCUCAAAAUUACUUAAAAAAACUAUUUGGUUAUUCAGGAAGGCAAUUCUUCUCAUUUGUCAUUGUAAAACACUGCUAAUCUUUAAAAUCAUUAGCAUCAGGCAAUACGAAGAAAACCUGUCUUGCAGGUUUGGUUAGACCAAAAAGUUAGCAGAGUUGGGAUGGGCUCCAAGCCGUUGUCCAUGCUACAUUUUAUUUAGUGAAUGUUUUUUCCUGUUAAAUGAGUGCCCUCAUGUUCUGUUGCUAGGUCUAUGUGAGCUGCAUCCUCAGGCUGAUGGCAUACAUUUCAGAAACUCCUUUCAGAUUAUAAUUUCUGUUAAAAUUCCCUCCGCUUUCAGAUCUCUCCCAAGACACAGGCAAAGGUAGGCUAUCAGUCUCAGCAAUGUUGAGUAAACAUUGAACGUUGAAUUUUACAUUCACAACUGAUUUGGCUGAGGUAGGUGGUCUGCAGAAAUCUUAAAGAAUUUCUUCACUUACUUUUCACUGCCUCGAGAAGGACAAAUGACUUGACACCCUCUGAAUAAUUAGACUUCUGUUAAUUGGACUCGAUCCAAGAUGAUCUCUACCUUUCAAACCUCUGGUGUGUUUUUCAAUUAGUGGCAAGGCGGGAGGAGCCACGCAACAUGAGCUUUGAUCAGUGUUCAUAUCCCAGUGUUCAGAGACAGUUUGUGGUUUUGUCGCGUUUUACAGUUCAUUUUCUAAGCUCCUCAUUUGACUCAAUUAGCCGAGAAACUAAGAGGAGAAAAUAUUGGUAGAUAUGAAGGUAUCACUUUCCUGUUCAAGCUCCUGUUCUUGUUCUGGUGCCAAUGAUGAUUCAAUACCUUUUUCACUUCUCAGAUAAAAGGUUUUUUCACAUUCUAAAUUGUGGCAAAGCAUUGCUGCUAUCACAAUACUUAAGGUUUCUAGUAUUGUCCCCCAACUGUUCAGACCCUCUCACUUCCGAUCACACAAAUAGCUGGACAUAAAUAUCUAAAUGCAAAAAAAUAAAUGCAUAUUU
rnacentral:lncRNA from 1 species